AAUAUUUCUCAUCACAUUUUGAAUGGAGUUACAAAAGCGCAUUAAUUAAUGAAAGCAAAGCAAGAAGGUAAGAAAUAGCAUCACAAUUUGCUUUCAACAAUUCUAAUAUUUCAUUAAGAAUGAAUAAUAUGAAUUGAAAUACAAUAAAAUGUUCAUCUCAGAUGAUAUAAACAAUUGUUUCUUUAGGGAAACUGAUUGUGAAUUCACAAUCAUUGAUCAACAGAUGACGCUCCAAUACUGAAGGUAAGAUAAUCUUUUCAUUUUCCGAUUACCAGCUAACACCAGCCUUCAUCAUCAACAACAAUCCAUGGUUCAGUGAGUUCAUUUUUUUGUUUAAAGGCCCACCUUGUAGAGCACAUUCAGACCUUAAUUCACUAGAAAAAUUUUUCAAGGUUGCUCCAAAUCACAUUGAAUAGCAGUUAAUUGAUGAUGAACAUAUCAAUGCCCAUUUUUUGACACCAUACGAACAGUGAGAAGAUGGAGGGAAAUGCGUUUUAAAGCCGCCAUUUUUCCCUUUACUUGUUCAACAAUUGAUAAAUAAUGGAAAUCAAUUGAUUUAAAUAAGUGAAUAUUUUUAACUUGCAAUUUUCAAACCAUCAGGAUAUAGGCAGAGUGUUUACAAGAUAAGCUCCACGUUUCCAGAAUCAGGUUAUAUCCGUACUUGUGUCGUUAACUUGUUUAAGCUUUGUUCAGUUAUCAAAAACGCACGUUUGUUUACUCAACCAUGUUGAUUAAUUGAAUAACGAAUGAACACCAUAGAGAGUGGAGUCCUUUUUUGCAUAACUUUGAAAUACAAAUAACUUUUGGCCAAGAAAAACAUGGUACAAAUUUAAUCAGGCGACUCGGUAUCAUUAGCUUGGUCUGAGUUUGCAGGAUCAUCAAGACAAUUGUACCAUCAACCGGAACGGUUAUAAAAGUUAAGGUUCAGUAAUUUAAAGGAAUGAAGCUCAAGUCCAUCGGUUGAUAGUUGUUAGGCUACCGAAUACGGGAAUAUUGUUAAGAUAGCCUCUAAUUUUUCAAACUCACUGUCUCGCUUUUUUUUGUAUUUAAAUGCCUUUCCUCCAAUACAAUCCAUAAUCAAGCGAUCCUUAAUUUUACAAAUGCGAUAAAGAAUGUUAAACCAGAAAGAAUUUGAAAAGAAGAAAACAAAAUAACACCAAAAAAAUGUGAAAACAAAAGGUUGAGGUGCAAAAAAGUAGGGAAACAAAAACAAAUUAACAACAGAAUCAAUUGAAUGGAAUAGUUAAGAGGUGAAAUUUACUGUGAAAUGAAUGUUGAAGCGUUUUUAUGACUAGAAAUUAUCGUUUACAUCAAACACGGUUAACAAUAUAACAAAAUAGAGACAAAUAAUAACAACACAUUUGAAUAAUAGUUUUGAAAGUGACAAAAAAAGCCAAAUCAAAAACUUUCUGGUUGUCUCUAUGGAAACAGCAAUUGUCACCGGUUAAUUGUAGCCGUUGGUGUGUUGAAAAAGCGACCAUCAUUAACUAAUUACCUUUUUUUUAUAAUUACUCAUUUCAACUAUUUUCUCUGUCUCCUUUAAACUCUAAUCACCCUUCUAAUAUUUUUACCUGUUUUCGUUUCCCUCUGCUUACCGUUGUUUCUUCCUUCUCCUCCUGCGCUUCCUCUCAUUACUUCCACUACCCCUUGACGUCUCUUCAAUUUGCUUGUUUUAUUAUUAGCACUGUAUCUUUUUUUGUCUUCAAUUUUUUGUCAUCAAUAUCAUCACAAUCUGAGCCUCUCUAAUUUGGUUUGAUUCUGCACCGUUGGCCACGUUAAAUAGACCCUGUUUAUGCUGAUGAUUGGUACUGACUAAAGCAAUAGCAGGAGAAAGUGUAAAGCAGGCAACUGGUUAAGGAUAAUGGCGUCCACAUUGGUAUUUAUUGUAUUGUGUUCACAACAAAAUCAGAAGAGAAAAAAUUACCCUUAUUAUUAUAUUAUUAGUUAGUUUGUUAUUUAAAGAUGCAAUCAGGAUGAUGUUUGGUUAAUUCGUUUCUCUUUAGCUUCUAUGUUUAUUCACUUACAAACCGUCUCGUCCUUCAACUGUUGCUUCAAUAAUCUUGCUUCUACUGUUACUACUGCUUCUUCAGGUUUUCUUCAUUUCUCUUCUUCAGCAUUCUAUCUCAUCCUAUUUCGUUGUUGUUCAAACAAAAGUAAAAAUUCAAGGCUAAUAUUAAUAAUAAUGUAUAAUAAUACAAGAAAAAAAAAUACUGACUGUAUGUUUAUAUGUAUAUGUCUGGUAAGAUUCAAUUUGAUUGUAUUAUUAUUAGCUAAUGACUUACAUGAACGUGAAUAAGCUCAACUCACAGUAACCUCUUUCAACUGUUGCAAGAGAAACGGAGAAAACCAAUUGACGUCUUGACUGAUUCUUAAAUAUGUUACAACUUUGAUUUCUCCAAUUGAACUAGCACCAGCAACAAUAAUUAUGAUGAUGGUGAAAAUAAAGUAAAGGGGAAUGUUUGUGUGUAUCUCACGGAAUUGCUUGGGAAUCCGAUGUGCGCUCAAUCAUCCUGUCAAUCUUUUGUAUUGGCGCCGAUCCAACAAUCAAUGGUCUUUAAAAUGAUUCUUAAGAAGAUGAAAAGAGAUGAAGAUACAUUCCUAAUACAUGUAUUUACCUAUGCCACGAAAAAAAACGCUAAAGACAAAACUUAAGAUUUUCUGGACUCAAGUGGUAAAAGAUCACCAAGCAAGCUGAGAGGCAAUCAAUGAGGAGACCAAGAACGAUGUAAAGAUCAAAAUCUAUGAAGUUUCCUCGAUAGGUUAUCAAGAAAAAGGUUUGGCAAAGAGUAGCGGGAAAAGGUUUGACCAGACAGUGUACUUUGGAUGGUUUAAAAUGAUCAGAUUGAACAAGUUUUUUUUUGUUCAAUAUUACUAUUCUGAAAGCCUUUGGUUGGUUUUGUCGCUACAUGCUGACCAAGGAAAUGAGCUAAAAUGAAGCUUAAAUAAUGCUAGGGGAAAAUAGUAAAUAAAAAAGGUCUGGCCAAUCAUGAAGAAAUUAUUACAGCAAAUCAUGAUCAUCAAAGGCGGUUCAAUCAACAUCCUCAUCUCUAUCUUUAUUAUCAUCUUUCAACUUUUAUCUUCUUCGUGUGGUCAUGGCAAAUUACAAAUUACCAAUCUAAAAGAACACUCACCAAUCAAGUAAACCUGGACAAUAAGGCUAACCACAGUGAAUUGGAAAUACAUUUAAAGGGACACUAUUUUGUACUUAUAUCCAAGCCAUCAUCAUCAUUAUCCUCUGUUGAAAUAAUUCUAAUAAGAGGUUAUUUCUCCGGUUCAUUGGGACUAUCUUCACAAAUAGACAGCAAGAAAAAGAGCAAAAAUCUUCAAGGUUUUUACCUUGAAUAAGUAGUAAAGUGUUCAUCAUCUUUUCAUCAUUCCUCUCUUUCCCCUUUACUCAAUUCUUUACGGAAUAUCGUUUUUUUCUGGUCAAGUCUCGCCUGUAAUUUCGACAUGAAAUGUCCAGCAAUAUCUGAUUAUCUAAAAAUAAUUGCCUACUUUGAUUCAAUAAAUAAGCUGAGGCCUGAAGGAAAACCAAGCAAAUGGAUGGAUAAAUCACUCAAUAAUAAUGGAUGAACCAAUUUGUUUUCAAGAUCAAAAUAAAUUUUGCUUUACGCUUCACAGAAUUGUCUGAGAUGUGCUUUAAUUGGACAAUUUAAAUCAAUUGUAUUAAUAUUUUAUUUAUUUAGAUUUUUAAUUAGCACGUUUCAAUUUGUUAAUUUUCCAAUCGAUAUCUAUAGAUAUCUCUAAUCAAUCGUAAUUUAUGCAUUGCCCCUUUCUUUUCGCAAACUCAUGCUUUAUUUGCUCAACCUGCCAAGUACAUUGUUGCAUUAACUUAAAUUGUUUGUUCAACUUUAAUUUCAAUCAUGAUUAAGUUAAGGUGACAAGUUGAAGUAUAUGAAGAAUACAUGAUUAUCAUAUAAUAUAUAUCGUGCAAUCUUUUUUUUUAUUAUCUUAUUAUGCUUCGUUUCCAUUGACAGCUAAUACAGUCUACAGUGAAAAAAUCAUGAAAUGUGUCUACUGUUGUUGGAUUGUCAAUCCUCUUCAUCCAAAGAAGUUCAAUUCAAUUGAAUCAAGUGGUACAGGAAGAUGAUGAUGGCUAAGAAUAUACUAAACAACAUAUCUCAAUUGAUUCAAUUGAAUUCAGAGUGGAAGCCAAUUGUCACGGAACGAAGUAAAAGUUGAAGAGUUUAUCGGAGAUGUUGUAUAACCUGAUAUUAUUGUUUGGUGAACCUGUUUCUGGUAAUUGUGGUUAGCCCAUUGUCUUCACAUUAGAUUUAAACAUUCAUUGAAUGGCUGGCGAUUAAAAUGACACAUGUUUAUUAUUAAUGUUUAUUAUAACAUGUUUAUUCGCUAUUAAUCACGAUUAAAUGAUUAGUUGAUUGUGAGGUAAGGUGAAAGGAGAGAUCAAAGAAAAGAUGAAUUCAAAAAUGGUUAAUUGUAACAAAAUACUUGUCUUAUACAAUCCAGUUGUACACAAUACUGACCAGAAGAGAUUGGGAAGCAAAUCCAGAUAACAAAAGUCGAUUCUAAUGCACUUGACAUACCAACAAUCAGGUAACAAUUUAACUAUUCAAUUUUACUACUUGUUGGUUAGUCUAUUUCAAUGAUAUUGAACUUGUAAGUUGUCAAUUGUUAAUUGAAUCUAAAUUGAAAAUCAAAUUCAAUUCUGGAGUAAUCAAAAGAAUAAAACAAUUACUCGAUUGAGUAGUUGGCCUAAAAAGAUCCAAACAAUUCCAACUUGAUUAGAUUGACGGGACAACACACACACACACACACACAUUGGAAACACAGGAUUAUCAACUAAAUGUUAUACCAAGUAAAGCUGAACAGUCCAUUCAAAUUGCGCUAAUCAUAAUAAUGAAUCUGGUUUUAGUGAAUUGGUAAUGUUAAUUAUUAAUCAUUCGCUUCGAUUAUAACCUAAAUUAGAUCAAAUUCCUGGCUGGUUGAAACGGAAAAUUAUAAAAGUACAAAAGACAAUAUAAUCAUGGAUGGACCAUUCAAUUAAAUCAGUGAUAAUAAUGCUGUUUGUAAGCCAAACCUUCAAUGUUUCACUGAUCUUCCACUUCGCAUAUUCAAAGAUUCAACCGGUUAAAUGGGACAAUUAAGAUAGCAACAAUAUUUUCGUUGUCAAACUUGUCAAUAAUUGUUAAAUUGUUGAUAAAAUUGAUGUUAAAUUUGGA